AGUGAACGCUGGCGGUAGGCCUAACACAUGCAAGUCGAACGGCAGCACAGGAGAGCUUGCUCUCUGGGUGGCGAGUGGCGGACGGGUGAGGAAUACAUCGGAAUCUACCUUUUUCGUGGGGGAUAACGUAGGGAAACUUACGCUAAUACCGCAUACGACCUACGGGUGAAAGUGGGGACGGCAAGGCCUCACGCGAUUAGAUGAGCCGAUGUCCGAUUAGCUAGUUGGCGGGGUAAUGCCCACCAAGGCGACGAUCGGUAGCUGGUCUGAGAGGAUGAUCAGCCACACUGGAACUGAGACACGGUCCAGACUCCUACGGGAGGCAGCAGUGGGGAAUAUUGGACAAUGGGCGCAAGCCUGAUCCAGCCAUACCGCGUGGGUGAAGAAGGCCUCGGUUGUAAGCC
rnacentral:rRNA from 1 species